UGGGGAAUAUUGCACAAUGGGCGCAAGCCUGAUGCAGCAACGCCGCGUGAGGGAUGACGGCCUUCGGGUUGUAAACCUCUUUUAGCAGGGAAGAAGCGAAAGUGACGGUACCUGCAGAAAAAGCACCGGCUAACUACGUGCCAGCAGCCGCGGUAAUACGUAGGGUGCAAGCGUUGUCCGGAAUUAUUGGGCGUAAAAAAGCUCGUAGGCGGUCUGUCGCGUCUGCUGUGAAAUCCCGAGGCUCAACCUCGGGCCUGCAGUGGGUACGGGCAGACUAGAGUGCGGUAGGGGAGAAUGGAACUCCUGGUGUAGCGGUGGAAUGCGCAGAUAUCAGGAAGAACACCGAUGGCGAAGGCAGUUCUCUGGGCCGUAACUGACGCUGAGGAGCGAAAGCGUGGGGAGCGAACAGGAUUAGAUACCCUGGUAGUCCACGCCGUAAACGUUGGGCGCUAGAUGUGGGGCACCAUUCCACGGUUUCCGUGUCGCAGCUAACGCAUUAAGCGCCCCGCCUGGGGAGUACGGCCGCAAGGCUAAAACU
rnacentral:rRNA from 1 species